rnacentral:rRNA from 1 species
UACAGGGGGGGCAAGCGUUGUUCGGAAUUACUGGGCGUAAAGGGCUCGUAGGUGGCCAACUAAGUCAGACGUGAAAUCCCUCAGCUCAACUGGGGAACUGCGUCUGAUACUGGAUGGCUUGAGUUUGGGAGAGGGAUGCGGAAUUCCAGGUGUAGCGGUGAAAUGCGUAGAUAUCUGGAGGAACACCGGUGGCGAAGGCGGCAUCCUGGACCAACACUGACACUGAGGAGCGAAAGCCAGGGGAGCAAACGGG